rnacentral:lncRNA from 1 species
UGAAGAACUAUAACAGACUCAAGAACACCUACCCUGGAGCAAGUAUCAUGAAAACCUACAGAUCACCCCAGGUAGCAGUCUCACAACAUCAAUCUAUUGAUUCUCACUGCACGAGGUGAAGAAGAAACCACCAGUUCAGGCCUACUUGAAUAUAAAUCCUUACACUUCUAUGUACUUGCCUAAUGAUGACAGGCUAAUACAUGCCCCGAUCAGUAGAAGGUGGGAUAGAGGACAGUUGAUGUACUUGAGGAACUCAGCAGGUACAGAUAUCAUCCUUUCAACACUUGAUUUUCAGUAUCACUCUGUAUUUAACAGAGCAGCUUGCAAAAGAUAAAAGAAACAAUGAAGCACCACCAGGAGGUUUUUCUUAGUAAGACUUGGCAUAUCUCCAUUCAAUUACUUAGCCAGACCUCAAGUUCUAUCUAGAUUCAAGGGAGCCCAAAAAAUAAGUCUGUGAUUGACUAACAACUCAGCAGUAUACUUAAGAAGCACAAACUUUGAUAGUCAAAUUGCCACUGAUGCCUCAAUGCAUAUUCCAGAUUUUUAAUUUUCUGAACAUUCAAUAAAGAACUCUGCUUGGGUAGAGAGGAGUGGUAU